rnacentral:rRNA from 1 species
UACAGAGGUCCCGAGCGUUGUUCGGAUUCAUUGGGCGUAAAGGGUGCGUAGGCGGCGGGGCAAGUCUGAUGUGAAAUCCCGGGGCUCAACCCCGGAACUGCAUUGGAUACUGCCUUGCUAGAGUACUGGAGAGGGAACUGGAAUUUACGGUGUAGCAGUGAAAUGCGUAGAGAUCGUAAGGAAGGCCAGUGGCGAAGGCGGGUCUCUGGGCAGUAACUGACGCUGAGGAGCGAAAGCGUGGGGAGCGAACAGG